CCUGGCUCAGAUUGAACGCUGGCGGAAUGCUUUACACAUGCAAGUUGAACGGCAGCGCGGGUGCUUGCACCUGGUGGCGAGUGGCGAACGGGUGAGUAAUGCGUCGGAACGUACCGAGUAAUGGGGGGAUAACGCGGCGAAAGUACGCGCUAAUACCGCAUACGCCCUGAGGGGGUAAGUGGGGGAUCGCAAGACCUCACGUUAUUCGAGCGCCCGACGUCUGAUUAGCUAGUUGGUGGGGUAAUGGCUCACCAAGGCGACGAUCAGUAGCGGGUCUGAGAGGAUGAUCCGUCACACUGGGACUGAGACACGGCCCAGACUCCUACGGGAGGCAGCAGUGGGGACUUUUGGACAAUGGGCGAAAGCCUGAUCCAGCCAUUCCGCGUGAGUGAAGAAGGCCUUCGGGGUUGUAAAGCUCUUUAAGCUGGAACGAAACGGUACG
rnacentral:rRNA from 1 species